UUGGAAAUUGUUUCUAUAAAAUAAGAUGAUGGAAAGGUCGAUCAGUAAGAUGAUCUUGAUAUACAUCCUUGUUCUAUUUCAACUCAUAUCCAAAGGACAUGCUUUAAUCCAAUGUGGAGCAAGAGAUCCGAAUGAGCAUGU
rnacentral:lncRNA from 1 species